UACGUAGGGUGCAAGCGUUUAAUCGGAAUUACUGGGCGUAAAGCGUGCGCAGGCGGCUUUGCAAGACAGAUGUGAAAUCCCCGGGCUUAACCUGGGAACUGCAUUUGUGACUGCAUGGCUCGAGUACGGUAGAGGGGGAUGGAAUUCCGCGUGUAGCAGUGAAAUGCGUAGAUAUGCGGAGGAACACCGAUGGCGAGGCAGUCCCCUGGACCUGUACUGACGCUCAUGCACGAAAGCGUGGGGAGCAAACAGG
rnacentral:rRNA from 1 species